rnacentral:rRNA from 1 species
UCGAUGGGAACCAGGUUAAUAUUCCUGGGCCAGGAGGAUGUGACGGAUCUCGAAGGUAGUUCAUCCUUAUCGGAUUGAAUGGGCUGCUAAGAGGUUCCUGGAAAUAGCCCUCCAUUAGAUCGUACCCUAAACCGACACAGGUGGACUGGUAGAGAAUACCAAGGCGCUUGAGAGAACUACGUUGAAGGAACUCGGCAAAAUACCUCCGUAAGUUCGCGAGAAGGAGGCCCGGCGUUUACGCAAGUAGAUUCCGGGGGCACAAACCAGGGGGUGGCGACUGUUUACUAAAAACACAGGGCUCUGCGAAGUCGCAAGACGACGUAUAGGGUCUGACGCCUGCCCGGUGCCGGAAGGUUAA